rnacentral:rRNA from 1 species
ACUGUGGGGCGGCAGGUCGCAGGCCGUUUACUUUGAAAAAAUUAAGUGUUCAAGCAGGCCUACGCUUGAAUACAUUACAUGGAAUAAUGGAAUAGGACUUUGGUGCUAUUUUGUUGGUUUAUGGGACUGAAGUAAUGAUUAAUAGGGACAGUUGGGGCCGUUUAUAUUUCGUUGUCAGAGGUGAAAUUCUUGGAUUUACAAAGAUAAACUUCUGCGAAAGCAUUCGGCAAGGAUGUUUUCAUUGAUCAAGAACGAAAGUUAGGGGAUCGAAGACGAUCAGAUACCGUCGUAUCUUAACCAUAAACUAUGCCGACUAGGAUCAUGGAUGUCAAUUUGCGACUCCAUUGGACCUUGGAGAAAUCAAAGUUUUUGGGUUCCGGGGGGAGUAUGGUCGCAAGGCUGAAACUUUAAGGAAUUGAC